AGAAGAUAUAAUAUCUUCCCUUCUGCCAUCUCUGGACUACAGGUGAUAUUUUCAGAGGUAGUCUUGGGACUGUUUUACUUCUUCUUACUAUGGAGUUUCACUUGCGCUUGACCAGGCUUUUGGGCUGCACCUUGCUGCACUGUUGCACAU